AGCAGCGUGGCUUAGUAGCAAGAGCCCGGUCUUGGGAGUCAGAGGUCACGGGUUCAAAUCCCGGCUCUGCUG
rfam:Ornithorhynchus anatinus chromosome 11, whole genome shotgun sequence.